GGGCGUGUGGCGUAGUUGGUAGCGCGUUCGCUUAGCAUGCGAAAGGUCCUGGGUUCGACUCCCAGCUCGUCCA
rfam:Brettanomyces bruxellensis AWRI1499 AWRI1499_contig2056_scaffold29, whole genome shotgun sequence.